rnacentral:rRNA from 1 species
UACGAAGGGGGCUAGCGUUGCUCGGAAUGACUGGGCGUAAAGGGCACGUAGGCGGACGGCUUUGUCGGGCGUGAAAUUCCAGGGCUUAACCUUGGGGCUGCGUUCGAGACGGGUUGUCUAGAGUUUGGAAGAGGGUCGUGGAAUUCCCAGUGUAGAGGUGAAAUUCGUAGAUAUUCGGAAGAACACCAGUGGCGAAGGCGACUUACUGGACACGUAUUGACGCUGAGGUGCGAAAGCGUGGGGGAGCAAACGGG